UACGUAGGGGGCGAGCGUUGUCCGGAUUUAUUGGGCGUAAAGAGCGUGUAGGCGGCCAGGUAGGUCUGCUGUGAAAACUCGAGGCUCAACCUCGAGACGUCGGCGGAAACCAUCUGGCUAGAGUCCGGAAGAGGAGAGUGGAAUUCCUGGUGUAGCGGUGAAAUGCGCAGAUAUCAGGAAGAACACCCGUGGCGAAGGCGGCUCGCUGGGACGGUACUGACGCUGAGACGCGAAAGCGUGGGGAGCAAACAGG
rnacentral:rRNA from 1 species